rnacentral:lncRNA from 1 species
GUAAAUAAAUUAUUUAAGAUUUAAGAUUAAUCAACACAGAAUCAAAUUGAUAAAUAACACUGUAAAUUCAAAAUAAUUUUUUAAUAUAUUAAUAUUUUAAAAUAAAUAACAUUCUAAUCAAGAUGAUGUUAUUUUAUUAAAAUCGAUCCGAGACAUCAUCGUCAUCCUCAUUGUCAGAUCCUUGCCAACGAUGCUUUUAAGGUUAAGAUCUCCACAUCUUUCUCAUUAUUGCUUUCUUCCAACAUCCUGACGCUCCUCACAAGAUUCUGAAAAUCCACACCGUUCCUCCUCAGUAAGGCUCUCAAGGUCAAGAUCUCCUCAGCUUUCUCCUUAUUACUCUCUUCAAGCUCCUCGACCCUCCGCGCAAGAUUCUGAAAGUCCAACCCAUAUUUAUUUAGUUAAACGUAGAUAUAUUUGGACUAUAUUUUUCAAAAAAAAAAAAAAUCAGCAGCGGUGUCACAAGGCUCUCUUUACCUUCCCAUCUUAGUCCUAUCUAAUCUAAAUGGUGCUGCCAAACCUAGAUCCACCCAUACCAAGCAUAUAUAUCAGAGAGAGAGAGAGAGAGAGAGAGAGAGAGAGAGG